UACGUAGGGUGCAGGCGUUAAUCGGAAUUACUGGGCGUAAAGCGUGCGCAGGCGGUUUCUUAAGUCAGAUGUGAAAGCCCCGGGCUUAACCUGGGAACUGCGUUUGAAACUGGGAGACUUGAGUGUGGCAGAGGGGGGUGGAAUUCCACGUGUAGCAGUGAAACGCGUAGAUAUGUGGAGGAACACCGAUGGCGAAGGCAGCCCCCUGGGUUAACACUGACGCUCAUGCACGAAAGCGUGGGGAGCAAACAGG
rnacentral:rRNA from 1 species